AACGAACGCUGGCGGCAGGCUUAACACAUGCAAGUCGAGCGCCCCGCAAGGGGAGCGGCAGACGGGUGAGUAACGCGUGGGAAUCUACCCAACCCUACGGAAUAACGCAUGGAAACGUGUGCUAAUACCGUAUACGCCCUACGGGGGAAAGAUUUAUCGGGGAUGGAUGAGCCCGCGUUGGAUUAGCUAGUUGGUGGGGUAAAGGCCUACCAAGGCGACGAUCCAUAGCUGGUCUGAGAGGAUGAUCAGCCACAUUGGGACUGAGACACGGCCCAAACUCCUACGGGAGGCAGCAGUGGGGAAUAUUGGACAAUGGGCGCAAGCCUGAUCCAGCCAUGCCGCGUGAGUGAUGAAGGCCCUAGGGUUGUAAGCUCUUUCACCGAUGAAGAUAAUGACGGUAGUCGGAGAAGAAGCCCCGGCUAACUUCGUGCCAGCCGCCGCAGUAAUAC
rnacentral:rRNA from 1 species